AGUGAACGCUGGCGGUAGGCCUAACACAUGCCAGUCGAACGGCAGCACAGUAAGAGCUUGCUCUUACGGGUGGCGAGUGGCGGACGGGUGAGGAAUACAUCGGAAUCUACUUUUUCGUGGGGGAUAACGUAGGGAAACUUACGCUAAUACCGCAUACGACCUACGGGUGAAAGCAGGGGAUCUUCGGACCUUGCGCGAUUGAAUGAGCCGAUGUCGGAUUAGCUAGUUGGCGGGGUAAAGGCCCACCAAGGCGACGAUCCGUAGCUGGUCUGAGAGGAUGAUCAGCCACACUGGAACUGAGACACGGUCCAGACUCCUACGGGAGGCAGCAGUGGGGAAUAUUGGACAAUGGGCGCAAGCCUGAACCAACCAUACCGCGUGGGUGAAGAAGGCCUUCGGGUUGUAAAGCCCUUUUGUUGGGAAAGAAAAGCAGCAGGUUAAUACCCCGCUGUUCUGACGGUACCCAAAUAAUAAGCACCGGCUAACUUCGUG
rnacentral:rRNA from 1 species